rnacentral:misc_RNA from 1 species
GAUGAAGAACGUAGCGAAAUGCGAUACUUGGUGUGAAUUGCAGAAUCCCGUGAACCAUCGAGUCUUUGAACGCAAGUUGCGCCCGAAGCCAUUAGGCCGAGGGCACGCCUGCCUGGGCGUCACACGUCGUUGCCCCCCCAUCUACUCCUUCGGGAUUGCGGGGGGCGGAUGAUGGCCUCCCGUGCGCCUCGUCGCGCGGUUGGCAUAAAUACCAAGUCCUCGGCGACGCACGCCACGACAAUCGGUGGUUGCGAAACCUCGGUUGCCCGUCGUGUGCGGUCGUCGCGCAUCGAGGGCUCGAAAAAAUUGCCGGGCUCCGGCUCGGCUUUCAACGCGACCCCAGGUCAGGCGGGGUUACCCGCUGAAUUUAAGCAUAUCAAUAACGGAGGA